rnacentral:rRNA from 1 species
UGAGUAACGCGUGAGCGACCAACCUUGCACGAGGGGAUAACGGACCGAAAGGUUCACUAAUACCGCAUGAGACCACGGUGUUGCAUGACACAGAGGUCAAAGGAGCAAUCCGGUGCAAGACGGGCUCGCGUCCGAUUAGGUAGUUGGAGGGGUAACGGCCCACCCAAGCCUAUGAUCGGUAGCCGACCUGAGAGGGUGAUCGGCCACAUUGGAACUGAGAUACGGUCCAAACUCCUACGGGAGGCAGCAGUGGGGAAUAUUGGGCAAUGGGGGAAACCCUUCGACCCAGCAACGCCGCGUGAAGGAAGAAGGUUUUCGGAUUGUAAACUUCUGUCUUAUGGGACGAAACAAAUGACGGUACCAUAGGAGGAAGCCACGGCUAACUACGUGCCAGCAGCAGC